GACGAACGCUGGCGGCGUGCCUAAUACAUGCAAGUCGAACGCAGGGGGGACGGGGGAGUAACACGUGGGUAACCUCCCAUCAGAGGGGAUAACACUUGGAAACAGGUGCUAAACCGAUACGGCUGGAUGGACCCGGGGUGCAUUAGCGAGUGGGGGGGGUAACGGCUCACCAAGGCCACGAUGCAUAGCCGACCGGAGAGGGGGUUCGGCCACACUGGGACUGAGACACGGUCCAGACUCCUACGGGAGGCAGCAGUAGGGAAUCUUCGGCAAUGGGCGAAAGUCUGACGGAGCAACGCCGCGUGAGUGAAGAAGGUUUUCGGAUCGUAAAACUCUGUUGGUAGAGAAGCGGUAUCUAACCAGAAAGCAACGGCUAACUACGUGCCAGCAGCCGCGGUAAUUC
rnacentral:rRNA from 1 species